rnacentral:lncRNA from 1 species
UUUUGUAAGGUAAAUGUAAUGUAGUCUAAGUGUACAGUGUUUAUAAAAUCUGUAGUAGUGUGCUAUGAUGUCCUUAGCUUUCACACUCACUCACUAACUCAUCCAGAGCUACUCCAGUUCUGCAAGCUUCAUUCAUGUGGCACCCCGAUACUUGACUUCCCAGCCUCCAGCCUAUCUGGGGGAAGCCAGUUGUGCUUCUUAAGGCCUCCCUGUUGAGAGACUCAUGCCAGUGAACUUGGAAGCAGAUCUCCUAAAGCCUCUCAACAGCUACAGAAAUUAGCUUGAAAGGAGAUCCUCUAACCAGCUGAGGCUUGAGAUGACUGCAGCCCUGGCCAGGACCUCAGUCGCAGACUGUGAGAGUCCUGGAGACAAAAUCACCCAGAGAAGCUACUCCUGGAUUCCCGACACAGACCAUUGAAAUAAUAAAUGUUUUUUGCUUUAA